UGGGGAAUAUUGCACAAUGGGCGCAAGCCUGAUGCAGCCAUGCCGCGUGUGUGAAGAAGGCCUUCGGGUUGUAAAGCACUUUCAGCGGGGAGGAAGGCGAUAAGGUUAAUAACCUUGUCGAUUGACGUUACCCGCAGAAGAAGCACCGGCUAACUCCGUGCCAGCAGCCGCGGUAAUACGGAGGGUGCAAGCGUUAAUCGGAAUUACUGGGCGUAAAGCGCACGCAGGCGGUCUGUCAAGUCGGAUGUGAAAUCCCCGGGCUCAACCUGGGAACUGCAUUCGAGACUGGCAGGCUAGAGUCUUGUAGAGGGGGGUAGAAUUCCAGGUGUAGCGGUGAAAUGCGUAGAGAUCUGGAGGAAUACCGGUGGCGAAGGCGGCCCCCUGGACAAAGACUGACGCUCAGGUGCGAAAGCGUGGGGAGCAAACAGG
rnacentral:rRNA from 1 species